rnacentral:rRNA from 1 species
GACGAACGCUGGCGGCGUGCCUAAUACAUGCAAGUUGAGCGAUGAAGCUUGGUGCUUGCACCAAUUUGAAGAGCAGCGAACGGGUGAGUAACGCGUGGGUAAUCUGCCUUUGAGCGGGGGACAACAUUUGGAAACGAAUGCUAAUACCGCAUAACAACUUUAAACAUAAGUUUUAAGUUUGAAAGAUGCAAUUGCAUCACUCAAAGAUGAUCCCGCGUUGUAUUAGCUAGUUGGUGAGGUAAAGGCUCACCAAGGCGAUGAUACAUAGCCGACCUGAGAGGGUGAUCGGCCACAUUGGGACUGAGACACGGCCCAAACUCCUACGGGAGGCAGCAGUAGGGAAUCUUCGGGAAUGGACGAAAGUCUGACCGAGCAACGCCGCGUGAGUGAAGAAGGUUUUCGGAUCGUAAAACUCUGCUGGUAGAGAAGAACGUUGGUGAGAGUGGAAAGCUCAUCAAGUGACGGUAACUACCCAGAAAGGGACGGCUAACUACGUG